rnacentral:rRNA from 1 species
AGAGUUUGAUCCUGGCUCAGGAUGAAUGCUGGCGGCGUGCCUAAUACAUGCAAGUCGAGCGGUAAGGCCCUUCGGGGUACACGAGCGGCGGACGGCUGAGUAACGCGUGGGAACAUGCCCCAAAGUGAGGGAUAACGCACCGAAAGGUGUGCUAAUACCGCAUAUGGUCUUCGGAUUAAAGGAUUUAUCCGCUUUGGGAGUGGCCCGCGUACGAUUAGAUUGUUGGUGAGGUAACGGCUCACCAAGUCGACGAUCGUUAACUGGUCUGAGAGGAUGAUCAGUCAGACUGGAACUGAGACACGGUCCAGACUCCUACGGGAGACAGCAGUAAGGAAUCUUCCACAAUGGGCGAAAGCCUGAUGGAGCAACGCCGCGUGCAGGAUGAAGGCCCUCGGGUCGUAAACUGCUUUUAUGAGUGAAGAAUAUGACGGUAACUCAUGAAUAAGCACCGGCUAACUACGUG